CUAAGUGUACUCGUGACCCUACCAGCACUUUUCAAGAUACUUUCGACGUAUUCAUUGCGGUGAACAACGCGGUUGGGACAGCACACUCACGACGUGGGAAGGUCACAGAAAUGUUGAAAGACAUCAGAUGUGUGGAAACGUCGUAGCGGAUGAAUGUGAAUUAUGGAUCUCCAAGUGGCGUCGCCCGCGUCAUUUUCAAGAUUUUACCCGUUUUGAAGGUACGUAGUGAAUGUGCGAGGCAUUCACGUUCCUACUACGUGGUUAUCCAUGCGUUUCCCGU